CCCGGGCGGGGGGAGCGCGGCGCUGCGGACCCGGGCGGCUGGCAAAGGACGAGGCGGAGGCUGAGGAAGGCAGCGGGGAGACCCAGGCUGCAGCAACAAAGGGCAGCGAGCGAUUGGCCGGGCUGCAGGCGAGAUUUGCCUGAAGACCUGGAUAAUCUCCAUUUUUGUCAUGGACUGUUAAAACGUUUGAAGUUCCAAUUCUGGUCUUGAUUUCCCAGUUAAAGAUGUUCUUCACCCGAAUGCAGUCUUUCCUGUUGGUAAAAUAAGACAACCAUCAACAUUGCCUGUUUGUCUGCUUUUGAAUCUCUUAAGGAUGGAUGUUUGUAAGAUGUUGCUUAAUACAGUCUGGAAUACUCUGUCCAUUUGUUGAAUUGUAAAUGACUUUCAAAUGUGCAAGUUCUGUUAAAUACAAAGAGAACCUCUAUGGGUAACUUUUGUGUUGAAGAAGUCAUUUGUCAACCAUGGUAAAACUUGCAAACCCACUUUAUACAGAGUGGAUUCUUGAAGCUAUACAG
rnacentral:lncRNA from 1 species